rnacentral:rRNA from 1 species
CCUACGGGGUGCAGCAGUGGGGAAUAUUGGGCAAUGGGCGCAAGCCUGACCCAGCAACGCCGCGUGAAGGAAGAAGGCUUUCGGGUUGUAAACUUCUUUUGUCAGGGACGAAGCAAGUGACGGUACCUGACGAAUAAGCCACGGCUAACUACGGGCCAGCAGCCGCGGUAAGACGUAGGUGGCAAGCGUUAUCCGGAUUUAUUGGUUGUAAAGGGCGAGUAGGCGGGAAUGCAAGUCAGAGGUGAAAACUAUGGGCUCAACCCAUGGACUGCAUUUGAAACUGUAUUUCUUGAGUGCUGGAGGGGCAAUCGGAAUGCCGGGUGUAGCGGUGAAAUGCGUAGAUAUACGGAGGAACACCAGUGGCGAAGGCGGAUUGCUGGACAGUAACUGACGCUGAGGCGCGAAAGCGUGGGGAGCAAACAGGAUUAGAUACCCCAGUAGUC